GUCGGUACAGAGGGUAGCCAACCCGCGAGGGGGAGCCAAUCCCAGAAAGCCGAUAGUAGUCCGGAUUGCAGUCUGCAACUCGACUGCAUGAAGUCGGAAUCGCUAGUAAUCGCGGAUCAGCAUGUCGCGGUGAAUACAUUCCCGGGCCUUGUACACACCGCCCGUCACACCAUGGGAGUGGGUUCCACCAGAAGUAGGUAGUCUAACCGCAAGGGGGACGCUUACCAGGGUGGGGUUCAUGACUGGGGUGAAGUCGUAACAAGGUAACCGUAA
rnacentral:rRNA from 1 species